UAGUCCACACCGUAAACGCUGUCUACUAGCUGUUUGUGAAUUUAAUUCGUGAGUAGCGAAGCUAACGCGAUAAGUAGACCGCCUGGGGAGUACGGCCGCAAGGUUAAAACUCAAAUGAAUUGACGGGGGCCCGCACAAGCGGUGGAGCAUGUGGUUUAAUUCGAUGCAACGCGAAGAACCUUACCAAUCCUUGAAAUUUAGCGAAGUUCGCAGAGAUGUGAAUGUGCCUUCGGGAACGCUAUGACAGGUGUUGCAUGGCUGUCGUCAGCUCGUGUCGUGAGAUGUAUGGUUAAGUCCAGUAACGAGCGCAACCCCUAUCCUUAUUUGCCAGCGCGUAAUGGCGGGAACUAUAGGGAGACUGCCGGGUGAAACCCGGAGGAAGGCGGGGACGAGGUCAAGUCAUCAUGGCCCUUAUGGAUUGGGCUACACACGUGCUACAAUGGGAAGUACAGAGGGAUGCGAAAGCGCGAGCUGAAGCAAACCCUUAAACUUUCUUAGUCCGGA
rnacentral:rRNA from 1 species